rnacentral:rRNA from 1 species
GUGGGGAAUAUUGGACAAUGGGCGAAAGCCUGAUCCAGCCAUGCCGCGUGUGUGAAGAAGGUCUUCGGAUUGUAAAGCACUUUAAGUUGGGAGGAAGGGCAGUAAGUUAAUACCUUGCUGUUUUGACGUUACCGACAGAAUAAGCACCGGCUAACUUCGUGCCAGCAGCCGCGGUAAUACGAAGGGUGCAAGCGUUAAUCGGAAUUACUGGGCGUAAAGCGCGCGUAGGUGGUGUUGUAAGUUGGAGGUGAAAUCCACGGGCUCAACCUGGGAACGGCCUCAAAAACUGCAUGACUAGAGUACGGUAGAGGGUAGUGGAAUUUCCUGUGUAGCGGUGAAAUGCGUAGAUAUAGGAAGGAACACCAGUGGCGAAGGCGACUACCUGGACUGAUACUGACACUGAGGUGCGAAAGCGUGGGGAGCAAACAGGAUUAGAAACCCUAGUAGUCC